rnacentral:rRNA from 1 species
GAUGAACGCUGGCGGCGUGCUUAACACAUGCAAGUCGAACGGUAAGGCCCCUUCGGGGGUACACGAGUGGCGAACGGGUGAGUAACACGUGAGCAACCUACCCUUGACUCUGGAAUAACAGUUGGAAACGACUGCUAAUACCGGAUACGACCUCAGACGUCAUCGUCCGAGGUGGAAAGCUCCGGCGGUCAAGGAUGGGCUCGCGGCCUAUCAGCUAGUUGGUGAGGUAACGGCUCACCAAGGCUUCGACGGGUAGCCGGCCUGAGAGGGUGACCGGCCACACUGGGACUGAGAUACGGCCCAGACUCCUACGGGAGGCAGCAGUGGGGAAUAUUGCACAAUGGGCGAAAGCCUGAUGCAGCAACGCCGCGUGUGGGAUGACGGCCUUCGGGUUGUAAACCCCUUUCAGUUGGGACGAAGCUUCGCCGGUGAAUAGCCGGCUGGAGUGACGGUACCUUCACAAGAAGCCCCGGCUAACUACGUGCCAGCCGCCGCCGUAAGAC